ACCAGGCCCCAGCCCCCCUACAACUUUUCUGCCGCGUCUGCUUAUUUAUACUCAGUUUCGAGGGCUUAUUUUUCUCCAAUAAAUUUUCUUAUCUUUAUUUUCUAUUUCCCGCACGGGUCUGGGGUUCGUCCUUCCCCUCCCCCUCUCUCUCCUCUCUCGAAUCGAAUAAGCCAAUAUUUUUUUGCCUGCAAUUGUGAACUUCAAAGUCUGUAAUGGCCUCCAAGAGGAUCCAGAAGGAACUUAAGGAUUUGCAGAAGGACCCUCCUGCUUCUUGCAGU